GCGAAUCAGCAGCAGACCCUCCCUCCCAGACCCUCUCACCUCCUGGACAGCUCACUAAGAAUGCAGUUUCAAAAUGGAUGCUGUCCAGGAGGUGGGAGGGCCUGGGAGGGAGGGUCUGCUGCUGAUUGG